AGUAGCGUGUUUGCAUUAGUUUUUUGAAGUGCUGUUGGGGUUGGGGCUGCGUGAUCGUCACUGGCGUCCUCCAGAGUGCCCACCGAUCAGAAAGUCGUACGAACCGCAAGCUUUGAACGUCUGUUUAUCGCACCAUCGAAAGCGGCGGCACAGAAGGCGCGAUGUGAGCUCCGGUGGGAACAGCAGCCCUUUGUCUCGUAACGGUGCCGUCCAGACUGGCCAUGAGACCAGCGAGUUUGCUGUAGAAACAGCCAUUUGGGAGUGGCUGCGUCACGCUUCUGCCAGGCACAGAACUGCCAUUGCCAAGGACUGUGCCACUGAACAGCCCGGAUAUGUGUGACAUGGUUCCCUCGGCCUGUUGUACCUUUACCUAUCACCCGCGGCAUCUAGCUGCCAGUGUGACCUUGCUUUCUUCAGCGCUGUGCCACUGAAUAGCCCAGACACGUCUGACAUGGUCUCCUAGGCCUGCUGUACUUUCACCCAUCACCCGUGGCGUCUAGAUCUAGUGUGCCGAGUUGUCCAAAACUGCCAAGUGCUUUAUGAUGUCACCAAUGUGGUAAAUGCUCUAGUACUGUUAUGUGCUCCGCGACUCUGCCAUGCGCUCUCCACUUCUCCAGUAUAUAAAGUGUCCCAUGGCGUCUCCAUUUGCGAAGUGCAUUACCAAGUCUCCAAGUGCUCCAGAACUGUGUUAUGUGCUCCGCAGCUGUGCCGAGUGCUCUCCGUUUAUGCAGUAUACCAAGUGCCCAUUGCGUCUCCGCAUUUUACCAAGUGCUCCAAUAUUGUCAACUGCUUGACCACGUCUGGAAUGUGCCAUGUUCUCCACUGCUGUGCCAGGUGUAUACUUUGUAAAUGAUAUACAUGUCUUAAGUUCAACCAACACCUCUAUUGCAUAACUUAUCCAUACAGUGGGUCUUCACAUAGACUUCUAAGUCAGUAUGUACACAUAUUGUAGAGUUGUGUUACUGUUUCUGUAGAGUAGAUGUGGGUCAACAUGUUUUUUCUUCAUAGAAGGCUACAGCGCGGAACCAACAAAGACAAGGAACACAGACACAGUGCUGACUUUCAACAAGAAUCAGCUUUCUGAAAGUCAGUGC
rnacentral:lncRNA from 1 species